GAUGAACGCUGGCGGCGUGCUUAAUACAUGCAAGUCGAGCGGAAGGACGAGAAGCUUGCUUCUCUGAUGUAAGCGGCGGGCGAGAGAGUAACACGUGGAUCCCCUCCUUGUAAGACUGGGAUAACUUCGGGAAACAGGCGCUAAUCCCGGAUAAUAUUUUGAGCCGCAUGGUUCAAAAGUGAAAGACGGUCUUGGUGUCACUUAUAGAUGGAUCCGCGCUGCAUUAGCUAGUUGGUAAGGUAACGGCUUACCAAGGCAACGAUGCAUAGCCGACCUCAGAGGGGGGUCGGCCGCCCGGGAGCUGGAACACGGACCAGGCUCCUGCGGGAGGCAGCAGUAGCGAAUCUGCCGCAGCAGGCGGGAGCAUUGCGCAGCGGCGCGGAGUGAGAGAUGAAGGUCUCGCGUUCGUAAAACUGGGUUAUUAGGUAUAAACAUAUGUGUAAGUAACUGUGCACAUCGUGACGGUACCUAAUCAGAAAGCCACGGCUAACUACGUG
rnacentral:rRNA from 1 species